GCGAUCAGGAACCUCUAAAUCCGGAAA
rnacentral:rRNA from 1 species